GGCUCUCCCACAUCUGAGGAAACACACCUCGUGGCUGGGAUGCUGCGAGCGGCCCCUCCUUUCCUUAGAAGUAUUUCUUUGCACGGAGCCUGCAAUACCCAGGGUGCCUUUCCUUGAGCGUCCCUCAUCUGGUCAGGUGGGAAGGGCGCCUCGGGGACAUAGCUCCUCCCCAGUCUGAUGGAGCUUGCUGAUGGGUCAGUCUGAUGUGUCGGUUUGCAGUACGGCCUCGUUUUAUUCAUUGAGUCCCUCAAAAAGUGCUCACUGAGUCCCUAGGGUGUACCGGGAGCAAGGGAUGGAAGAGGGCACCAAAGCCCCAGCCCUCCUGGGACUUACCUUCUAGCGAGGAAGACAGAGAGAAACAGUUGAGUAAAUUUAUAGUGCCAGGUAAUGAUAGGACACUGCCAGGAAAGCGAGUUAAGAGACUGGGAAAUGGGGUGCUGCUGUAGGUUGGGAGGCCAGGGGCGUCCCAGUGAGGAGGCGAGGUAUCAGCAAAGCCCUGACCCACUGAGGAGAUGAGCCGUGUGACUGCAGGAGAGGGCAACAGCCCUCUGUGAGCAAUGCUGGAUGUCUGUGGAAUAUUGGGGAGGCCAGCAUGCAGGAGCGGUGACAGGAAGGGGAGAGAGGCAGGAAAGGAGGUGUGAGAGGGAGCCCGGGGUCAAGUGGCCUUGACAGGGCUACACUCUGCAGGAUUGAGAGCAGGGAUGUGACAUGACUUCAAGACCCUUUCCAUCUGAGUUGCUGUAUUCUCUCUAUAUUUUAGCUGGUUACUACCUCUGUAUAAGGGAGUAACCCAGAAUUGCCUCCAAUCUUCCAGGUGAGGCCUAACUUGCAGAGUAGAGCAGGACCAUCCCCUCCUUUAUUCUGGACAUACUGUUUCUAUGAAUAUCAUCUGAGGCCUCUCAUAUUCCAUUUUAGGUAACCGGUUAUUGUGUUGUUUUCUUUUGCAUAUUGAACUCUUGAACUAUUCUCCCCGAGUUUCUUCCCACCCUGACCCUCCUGUCCCCUGGCUUAAUCCCCACUGAUGUCAUGGAGCUUCAGGAAACGUCCUGGAAGCCAAGUGGUGGCGUACUCAGAACAAGGUCUUUACAGAUACAUUUUUGACAUUUUUGUAUUUGCCUCAUCCUGGUUUCCUUUAAACGUGCCAGGUUCAACCACCCUGAACUUGUUGGGAUGGCUUUUAGGGGCCCAAUGGUGGAAUACUUCCAUAUGAAAUUCUACCUUAUUAGACUUGGCACAUUGUUUCACUCUUUAGAAAUAUUUUUAGACCCCGGUUCUAGCAUCUUCGUGCACAAGUUAUUGCUCUCAUCUUUGUCAUCAACAGAUUUCUUCAGGAUAUCAGUUGUAACAAUAUUGUACUGAGUAAGGCUCCAGCUAGAGUCCUGUGGCGAGUCAAUAGAGACCUCCAUCGAAGUUGAAAUGGAUCCAUUACCAAGACUUUUAGGCAGUGAUUGUUCAACCAGCUGCAAAUCAGUCUAAUUUACCCCACAUCUACCCUACGCCUCUACAGGCCAGUGUAAAAGAUUUUUGCCUAACGUCAUACUGAAAUUCACACGUGUUGCCUUGACCUUCCAGCGCAACCACAUUGUCAAAGAAAUGGAGGUCUGCUCACACCUCACAGUUCACAUUUUCUUUGGCCCCUCUCUGUUACCAACGCUGGACUUUUCCUGCUGGCCUGAGGCUCCUCUUACAUCAGACACCGGCCACCCCUAGAACUUGCUUCCUCAUUUUUUGCUGUAACUGACUGUACGACACAGUGUUGGCUCCCUAAACGCAUUGGACAUACACCUGAAUGGCUGCGCGUCAGUGGCGGUGCUUUGAGUCCUGUUUCAGGUAUGCGGUGAACUGCUCGCUUGCUCACUCAGUGAAGUUACUGAUCGCUCCCUCCAAAAGUCCAGUUCUGCCAAGACGUAAAACCCUUUUGUAACACAAGUAUAAUACUUUCGAAUGUAGAUUUUGUUUACCUGUACUGAAUUUUCUCAAAAUGAACCAUACCUUUAAACACGAUAAUGACAGGCUAGGGCUGCUGUAACUUGAAUCAUCAGUGAAUACAAUACCUGGCACAUGGUGUGCUCCUGCCGGGAAAUUCUUUAACCUCAACUCUUCAGACUUAGGAAAAUAAGUAGUAUUUUCUUUAAAUUGGUAGUUUAUGUGAGGAUAAACAAAAGCAGUUUCCAUCUGGUUUGACGUUGACCCGGGAUUAUUUUCAAGUCAUCCUUGUUCCUCCUUUGCAAACGAAAUCACAGUCUCCAGGAGGAUGCAGCCAGUUAGUCUCGCCCGUCGCUGUCUUCAGAGUCAGCACGGUACCUGGACUCUGUAGAACACGUGCUCAGUGAACAUUUCUUGAACAGAUAAAUGAGGAAUAAAUGAAUACAUGUGUACAAAAAGCUUACUUCAUCUAGUCAUAAAAUGAUUUCAGUUUGCCAUGGGAUCAAAUGUAGACAUGACCAAUGCCUUCUAGAAAGAAACCUUUGGGGCAAAAAUCACCAUCUGAGUUGCACAAAUAAUAGUAAUAUUUUUGAUCAACAGUUCUCAAAUGUUUUGUUCUCAGGACUCCUUUAUACUCUAAAAAAUUGUUGAGAACCCCAAAGAGUUUUUGCUUAUAUAGGACAUAUCCAUUGAUACUUGCAAUAUUAGAAAUUAAAACCAAAAUUAAAUGUUAAUUUGAAAUAAUAGCAAUACUCAUAAUAUACCAACAUAAUGUUUUGUGAAAAUGUAUUUUCCAAAAUAAAAAUAAAUUAUGAGUGACAUUAUUUAAAAUAUUUGAAAAUCUCUUGACUGUCUGGCUUAGUAGAAGAUAGCUGGAUUCUCGUCUCUGCUUCUGCCUUCAAUCUAUGGUAAUAUUACCUGUCAUGUGGCCUCUAGAAAACUCCACAGUAUACUCAAGAGAAUGGGAUUUUCAUUAAAAUAGUUGUGAUCUGUGGACCCCCUGAAAGGGCUUGGAGAACCCCAGGAGUCCCUGGACUAUAAUUUGAGAACCUCUGUUCUAAAUGUUUACACUUUUAAAAUAAUAAAGCUAUUCAAUUCAUAACAGUUUCUUCUUUGCCUAGAAUAUCAGAACCUUCAGGGCGAAGGUCAUCCAUCAGCUCAGGUGGGGAAUGACAGCCUGUCCAUCACCUGUCACGCUGCUCAGCUGCUGCCUGAUUGCUACUGGGCUUUUCCUUCCUUUUUAGUGUUAAUGGUUUUUGGCCGUACUUCUUCUGCGUUUUCAUUAGAAGAUGCUGCCAGUCCUUUCUGGAAAGAGGUUAAGUGUUUAAAAGUAUAGGAAUAUCUGUCUAUCCAUCUAUCUAUCUAUCUACACACACAUAAAAAGCAACACAUACAAGUUUGAAAGUACACUUUCAUUUCAUUUUCAGUAUCUAUCUAGCUAACGCACCUCAACAGGAUGAAAAUAUAUAAUAUAGUCACUUGAAAGGUUAAGAAAAUCCUCAGGUUGUCUGAAUGGGCCUUCUUCACAGAGCCCAGAGAAUGGGGUUCAAGUGCAGGGCCUGCUCUCUAAACAGCUACAGCUCCAUGACAGGCAAUUUAUCACUCAAGAAAUGAGGCAAAUCAUCAAGGUCUCAGAGUGUCUGAACUGUUCCUCAGAACUCCCACCCGGACCAUCCACUUUUUCUCUGUCAAUAACUAAUUUGACUGAAGCCUAUGAGAGUCGCACUUUUUCAGUGCCAGCCCACUGCAUGUCAUUUUUCUGUCUGGGAGAACUGCCCUUCAGUCAUCCAGGCGGGUGAGCGCCCCGCCUUGCCUGUCUCAGGGCACCCUGUUUGGGGCCACCCUUGACCGGAUCAGGUUGUGCACCUGACCCAGGCUGAGCCAACCGCAUUCUCUCUCGUGGGAAUGUGGCCUCGGAUUGAGCACAGCCAGCUACCCGGGACCGACCUCUUCAGUAGGGAGGGUGUAAACCCGGCAGUUGUGAGGGAUCCUCUUCCACUCAGCUGCCCAGAGAGAAGAAGGAAGGAGAGUUGAUUGCAGAGAGACGUGGAGCAGAGGCGAAGGCUGGAGAAGGCCUGCUUCCUGGCUUCCUCGUAGCCAUCUGUCCUUGGGCUUCAUGAGAUACUGCCUCACCACAUAUUUCCCUUAAUAAUUAAGCCAGCUCAAGUUGAUUCCUUGCAACCAAAAGCUCUCAACUAAAGCAAAGGCAAAGCCAGAAGCAUUGGUGAGUUUUUCGCUACAGCCGGGUCCUGUAAAAGAUCCUGGAGAGGAUUGAUUGUAGGUCCUAAAUACGCAUCAUCGACUCACUGAAGGCUUCCAUCCGGCCAAAACACGUUUCCAUCCAAGGCCAACUAGAUUAGGAAAUGGCGUUUCCUCCUGCUUUCCAUCCCUGGAGGGCAAAUGUACAGAUGACUGGAGUUAGCAAUUGACUCUGUGGGUUAGUAUUUGCUGAGGGCACACGCCCAGGGACUUGAAUGACAGCAAUCCCCAGGUGCCAGGGAGGAGGCUGGCAAUUACGCUUCCCAUCACUGGCCUAUUCACCACUCCUGCAAACCAGCAUUCCUCAGAGCACUGACCCUCAAUGACUGGCAGGGCGACCGACUUUUAAAAGUGCCCAUUUUUAGCAGCUGGAAAUAAUAAACAGAGGGAAGUGAAGAUGCUGGAGGACUGAUUUCUCUUCCACUGUUUUCAAAAGUCAAAAGAUGCUAUAGACUAGUGGACUGGCAAGGAUGCCACGGAAAGCUGGUGCAACUCCUGCCGCAGAGCAGCUGUGUGAUGAUGGGUUAGUCCAUACACCUCCCUGGGCCUCAGUUUUUACAGCUGCAGAAUGACGAGGUAGAACUAGAAGGUCUUUAAUAUCCUUUUCAUCUCCAACUUUCUACAAUCUUUGUGAGCUGGAAAGAUUUACAUAGAACUUCAUCUUGAUUUUAUUACUUGUAGUUCAUCUUCUUGUGACAGAGCCGGCGGCAGCCUGUGCGUGCGGAAGUUGUGGAGUCAGACAGAUGAAGGAUGGAAUCCUGGGUCUGCCCCUAAGAGCUGUGCGAGCACGGCCAAGGCACUUUGCCCAUCCAUGCCUCGGUGUCCACAUGUGUAAAAUGGGACUAAGACCCACGCGAUUGUUGAAAGAAUUAAACGCAACAAAUUUGACAAACUUCUUAGCACAAUGCCUGACAUGUUAGCUGUUAUUUUUUGCAUCCUAUAUUUUGUGUGCCUGCUCUUUGCCGGGCCUGUCGCCUGGGAGAGCAGACACUGUGCUCUCUGCACAG
ensembl:lncRNA